rnacentral:rRNA from 1 species
UACGUAGGUGGCAAGCGUUGUCCGGAUUUACUGGGCGUAAAGAGCGCGCAGGCGGUCGAUCAAGUCGCGUGUGAAAGCCCCCGGCUCAACUGGGGAGGGUCACGCGAUACUGAUCGACUCGAAGGCAGGAGAGGGUAGUGGAAUUCCCGGUGUAGUGGUGAAAUGCGUAGAUAUCGGGAGGAACACCAGUGGCGAAGGCGACUACCUGGCCUGUUCUUGACGCUGAGGCGCGAAAGCUAGGGGAGCAAAAGGG